rnacentral:lncRNA from 1 species
UGGAUACGGUCGGAAGGAAUGCGUGGAUCUUCUCUUGAAGCACGGCGCUGCUGUGUAAGUGAAACCAUAUCUUCUCUCUCUAAUUAACCAGCAUGAACUGCCGACCGCUCGCUCACAUUCAACUGUUUCUAAACGACCGCAGCACGCUCCAAAAUCUGGAUGGGAAGACCCCCAUCGAGGUGGCCAAGCUCAACAGCCAGGGCGAGGUGGUGAAGCUGCUUGAGCAGGACGUGUUCCUAUGAAGCAAAACCCUCAGACCCGCCGCCCAUCGAUCCUAAAACUCUCCCUUUGGUUCGGGACUCUCGGCGGUGUCAUAUCCUGGCAUGGUGUUGGUUGCUUUCCCUCGGUUUACUUAGUUGGUAGCUCUCGCAUGUAACCUGUGUGGCCUUGCGGUGCUACUUAACAAGAGUCCAUCUUCUCCGUUGGUUUGAUCCUGCUGUGCAACCCUGUUCUUGGUCCAUCUCCAUGCACGGGGGAUAUGGGUUCGCUGUGGGAGAUGUCAGGGGUGAUGAUGAUUGCGUAUAUACCCCUUUCGUGAAUAUUUCUUGGUGUUGAAAAUGAUACGUGAGGUGCAAAUUUUGUUUAAUCUGUUGUUUAGGCUUUCUGCUUCCGUUCUCUUCAUCUUCAGAAAAUCUUUGUGAGUCUUGUAGCGCGAACUCGUUUAAGACUGAUUUUGAAGUCGGUUGGAAAAAGGCACGAGGGCGAAACCAGCCCACAAGUGUGUUAGGCCGAAGUCAGAAUGGAGUCGUAUAUUAGUAGAGGGUUGGCCUUUGAAGUAGUCGACGUCAUGCUGGACUAGGGUGAAUAUCAGGUUGCAAUUGAUAUUUUGUCGUUGGGGUCCAUAAUCAAGAUCUUUUAAUUUUGGCUAUGACUAGACAGCCGCGUCGCAUGGUUGCCCCUCUCGCUCUCUCUCUCCCCUGCCACAACUGUUGGAUGAUGCAUCUUCCUAGGGUGAAUAUCAGGUGAUGCCAUGACUUGUAUGCUCCCAUGAUACUAAUUGAGGUAAUAUCACUGGAAGUCAUAAAACUUGCGCUCAAUGUUCAGUUUGGCGCUAAAACUUUAAAAAUACGGAUUUGUGGUCACAUAACUUGUCCCCGCAUGCAUAUACGGUGCUUCCUCUCGUAUCCAGUCACAUGGCCUGUCCGCAUGGCGUGCCAGCCUGGUGGAGGCCCACUUGUCAGUGGUUGGGAAUGCACAAGGCACCAGGUGACCAUAGCACACUGGAUUUUUUAUAGAGAACUCCCUCAAAAUUUAUUUAAUUGCGCACAAAGCCCUCAAAUAUAAUGAAAAAAGAUGGCACACAUGUGGUUCAAACACGGGACCUGUUAAUAAAAUAGUCUGCCAUACAUCAUUCCAUCAGUGCCGAUUGACGUUCAACACGAUCAACGAAAAUUCGUUUAAUCACAAACAGAAGCACCAACACGAAGUGAGUGACGGAAAAGGGUGGUCCAACAGAUUCGAUCUCUCAACCUCAAGCGUGCAGGACACACUGGAGCUAAACGCUACACUAAGUACCAACCAAUGUCUAUAAAGACGGAAGCCGGAUUUUAUAUAUUGUCCACGACCACUACUCGUAUUCAGGUUCUUUUUCUCUCAGACCGAAUUUUCGACAACUGACCAGUCCCCAGAAAAUUUGGCGGUCCCCGGAAAAAAUGUUAUCGCCCAAAAUUUUGAAUUUAAACGACAAAAACUAUGUCAAAUAUAAUAACUUUUGUGUGCAUACAAUAUCAUAAUGACACAGUUAGCUUAGUGGCAGGGCCGCGAUUCUAUUCCUUAUAUUGUGAAAUAUAUUUUUCUUUAUUCAUGCUCAUUUAUAAAAAUGGUCUCGAACUGUAACAAUGAAUUGAACAUGCAAACUUCUAUAUAAGAGAGGAGUUGAGCUGACCACUGUAACAAGCGUCACUUUUUUUGCUAAAUUAAAUAUAUUUAGACGAUAAAAAGAUUUGAAUUCAAAAUUCAUUUCAAAAUUUUGGUAGAUAAAAACUGGAAUUGCCAAGAUAUUUCGAAACCCGGAUUUUUCCGACCCCUCUCGAGAAAAAGGAAUAAAAAAUUCUCACUCAUGACAAAGUUUUGUACGGUAUGGAUUAAACAUUAUACAUUUUGAAACAGUUUUCUUAAUUGUUUUUUGGUGAAAAAAGGCGAGAUUUUCCUGUAUCCAGUUUUUACUAGCCGAAUCUGGGAAAAAACGGAAUCUAGGAAGAACUGCGUCUAAUAUAAAAUCAGGUUUACCUCUUUACAGGAAGGAAUAUGUAGUUGGUGUAGUGCUUUGCUUGUGCAUGGAUGUACCCGAGGUGUAUGGAGUUAAAAUCCCUGCGCGUGUACUUUUUAUUUUCAUUUUUCACACCACCUCAUGCUGACAAGUGGGACACACAGAGGGGAUUAUGCUCAAUUAAAUUAAUUAAAUACAGACCAAGGGUGCUUCUACAAAGAAAAAACGCGGCGAGCUGUUUCGGUGACUAACAGUGGGCCAUAGCCAUGUUGGGGAGCCACGUAAGCGCGGGAUACGUCUGAAUAUGACCAAAGUGACCGUAUUUGCACAAGAACGCAAGUUGAAUGACCACAAAUCCGUAAUUUUAAAGUUUUAGCACCAAACUGAACAUCGAGCACAAGUUCUAUGACUCCCACUGAUAUUAUCUCAUACUAAUUUGACAAAGUUGAUUUAAAUGUUUAGAAAAAAUCUGAAAAAAAAUUAUGGAUGUUCACAACCCAUGUGUCUACGAUCCAUAAAAUAUUUAGAACAAAAUUCAAAAUACACAUUGAGAAACAAAAAAGGCAAAUUCAGCAUAAUAGUGUCAAUAAAAACAAAAGCAUGAAUAUUGUCACAACCUACACUACUCACAUCCGCGUUUUUUUGUUUCUCUACAUGUACUUUGAAUUUUGAGCUAAUUUUUUUAGGGUUUGUAGACAUGUGUGUUCUGAACGUCCACAAAUUUUUCAGAAUUUUCCAAAACAUUUAACUUUGACUUUUUAAAAUUGGUAUCAUGGGAGCAUACCAGAGGCGGUAUCACCUACUGGGCAUCUACAUGCCAUGCUCUUUCCGGCAGCCCACCUACAGGCCAUCCCUACGCUAUGCUCCGACCAUGCCUCUCUUCCCCUUUAGGGAACCCACCUCACAUAUAGGGAACCCCACCUCACAUACAAGCAUUACUUAAAGUUCGAGGAAUUCUGGCUCAAAUAUGACGACUUCAAGGAGAAAGUCGCCGAGGUGUGGCAUAAGCAUGUCAACGCACACAACCCCAUCCGUCGAGUCCUUGUCCAGCUUUUAACCGCCUUGCUAAGACGCUUAAGAUCUAGCAAUGUCAGAAGGUGCGCGACAUUGAGACACAUAUCUUAAUCUCCAAGGAGAUCAUCUGGCAGCUUGACCUGACAAAGAAAUCUUGCUUGUUCACUCGUGAGGAACGAUGUAUGCGCUGCAAUGUUAAGAGCAACCACCUAGGUCUCCUCUUGAUCCAAAAGAUUGAAAUAAGACAUCGAACCAGGCUCACAACUAUUCGAGUUGCGGAUGCGAACAUUAUGCUUUCCCGCAUCAGAGCAAAUGGGCGCGAAAAGAAGAAUUUCAUCUAGUCGCUCGAGGACUGCCAAUGGGGUCACCGUCAUGCAAGAGGACAAAGAACUUGAGCUCCACUCCCAUUCCAGUGGGCAUCUGGGACGAAGUCGCAUUGCUCUAUCAAAAUCAACUGGGAGGCCCUUGGCUACCAGCGCCGUGAUUUGUGUGACCUUGAUGCGGACGAGAUCAAAGAGAUCGUGUUCUCCCUCCCCUCUGGCAAGGCACCCGGCCCUGGCAGCUUAAUUGGGGCUUUCUUGAAGAGGUCGUAUUCUCCCUCCCCUUUUGAAAUGAGGGUCACACUUCGACGAGGACGAGGCGUAUGGGAUGUUUGGUCCCUUUAUUAUGUUUGUGACAAAAUCUUUACAAACUUAUGUCGUCUUUCACCACCUAGCGAGUCUAUGCUGGACUCACGCCACAUUCAGGCGUCUUUGUGUCUUUAGAAAAUAGGACCAAUGGUAAUGUCUGAUUAUAAUACUGUACUGUUGCAAACCUUUCGUGAAAUACAUCUUUAGUUCAGAAAGGCAUGUCUGACCGUGUUUAUAUUUUUAUUGUUUCUACCUGGAUUCUUGCAUGAAUCUUCUUUGUUUUAAUUUAGUGGUACUUUAGUGGAUGCGUCCUAAAGAGAAGAGCCUCGUUAACCUACACCAAGAAAAAGAGUGCGAGGUUGACGAGGUUGUAAAACGAACGAUAAAACAAGAGCGCAAUGUGUACGUCACAAAACUCAGUUUCUCAGAGGUACUAAAAGAGCGUGUUGUUUCGCAAAGAAGAAAAGUAUAUAUAGUUGAUGCCAAAAAAGAAAAAUGCUUUGUGCUAAUGUAUAGCACAUCCCCCAUCGAAUUAAUUUAUACAACAUUUUUCUAUAUACAUUCGAAUACUGUACACUUUUUUUUUGAGGGGGUUUAUAAAUAUACUGUACAUACUGUACACAUUUUUUCGAUGCUGUUUGCGUCCUUGCCGGGCGCGUAGCAGGCGGGCCGUCCCGUUCUUUUAAAUCGGAUCCAUCUUAUCUCCUGCGGCGGUAUGGUAUUAUUAUUUUUCUAUUGUACGAUCUUUUUCUUUUUUUGAUUGAGAAUAUUCUGUCGUAUCGAUCGAACCGCCCGUUGUGGAUCCUCACUCGGCAGACGCGAACCGUCGGAUCCGGCCCGUUGCUGGUCCCGCCACCCGCCUUCCAGUCCACCCGGGCUGACCGGGCGUUGCUGCGAGAGAACGGCACCGUUAUUUUAUUGUCCGUUUAUUAGAGCCCCAUGGCCCAUGGCCGGCGCGCCGGGAGCGCGAGCAGUGGCAGGCAGGCACCACCAUGCUCGG